CUUUCUGCCCAUGCGCACGUGUGUGGAGCCGGGCGCUGGACUAUGACGUCACGCGUCCCCACGUCUAUAUUUCAGCAAUGGGCGGGGCUCCAAGUGUCCACGCUCUGAGGAGAGUUGGCGACAGGUCCUAGGCCGUGAGUUAACACUGGGGAUUUGGACCCAGGACUUUGUCCUGUGUGACAGCCAAGCACUCUACUACUGAGCUACACUCCCUGCCCAACCUCAAGUACUUCGUUAAUGUCUUCAGAAGCUUCCUGCUAUUUGGCUUCUGAUGCUCACACUUAAAGGAUGAAGUGCUAUCCUAAAGCAGAAAACAGCAAGAACAACAGCAAAACAACCAAAGAUUGGCCUGCUUUGGAAUAUCAAAUACCUCCUCUUUGGAGGGGAAGGAAGAUGAAAGCAAUGACAUCCACACUCCCCCAGAGCAUCUCCCCAGCACAGCCUGAGCUCUUGCAAUGGGGUUUUGUCGGGAGAGCUCAUCACCUGGAGUGGUCAGGAGGGCUCAGUCACUGUGCGGUCACUGGGGGAGAAGACCUCGUGGCUUCAGCCUAGCCUGCUGAGGAAGCUCUUGGAGUCAGGGUGUCAGAGGGCUGAGACCCCACAGGAAGUGCAGAGCCGGAUGGGAAGGAGAGGUGACCACAUCCUGCAUUUCUCUGUGGUUCCCCCAGGAACCAGUAACACAGCCUGGAGGCUCAGCAGAGGAAAACCAAGAAGCCAAAUGAAAACCACAAUGAAAUACUCCUUCAUAUCCGCCAGCAUUGCUAUCAUGAAAAGAAAGAUAAUAACAAGUGCUGGUGAAGAUGUGGGGAAAUAGGAGCCCUCAGGCACUGUUGGUGGAUAGCUGCUUUGCACAGUAAUCUAGCAUUCCCAAAAGGUUAAAUAGAGACUUGUCUUUCAACACAGCAAUUCCACUUUUAGGUGCAUACCCAAAAGAAAUGGAAAUUUUGGUCCACAUGAAAACCUGUCCCUUAAUGUUUGGAGCAGCAUUAGGCAUAAUGACCAAAAAAUGAAAAGUACCCAACAGUUCUGCUGUUAAGAUUGAGAAGUUUUUGUGGUGUCUGAA
rnacentral:lncRNA from 1 species